rnacentral:rRNA from 1 species
UACAGAGGAGCCAAGCGUUGUCCGGAUUGACUGGGCGUAAAGCGCACGCAGGCGGACGCGCGCGUGGGGUGUGAAAUCUGGCCGCUUAACGGCCAGGCGCCAUCCCAUACGGCGUGUCUGGAGUGAUGCAGAGGUCGAUGGAAUUGCCGGUGUAGUGGUGAAAUGCGCAGAUAUCAGGAAGAACACCAAUGGCGAAAGCAGCUCUCUGGGACGGUACUGACGCUGAGACGCGAAAGCGUGGGGAGCGAACAGG